rnacentral:rRNA from 2 species
GCUACACAUGCAAGUCGAACGCUGAAGCUUGGUGCUUGCACUGGGUGGAUGAGUGGCGAACGGGUGAGUAAUACGUGAGUAACCUGCCCUUGACUCUGGGAUAAGCCUGGGAAACUGGGUCUAAUACUGGAUAUGACCUCCUGUCGCAUGGUGGGGGGUGGAAAGGGUUUGUACUGGUUGUGGAUGGGCUCACGGCCUAUCAGCUUGUUGGUGGGGUAAUGGCCUACCAAGGCGACGACGGGUAGCCGGCCUGAGAGGGUGACCGGCCACACUGGGACUGAGACACGGCCCAGACUCCUACGGGAGGCAGCAGUGGGGAAUAUUGCACAAUGGGCGCAAGCCUGAUGCAGCGACGCCGCGUGAGGGAUGACGGCCUUCGGGUUGUAAACCUCUUUCAGCACGGAAGAAGCGAAAGUGACGGUACGUGCAGAAGAAGCGCCGGCUAACUACGUGCCAGCAGCCGCGGUAAUACGUAGGGCGCAAGCGUUGUCCGGAAUUAUUGGGCGUAAAGAGCUCGUAGGCGGUUUGUCGCGUCUGCUGUGAAAGCCCGGGGCUUAACCCCGGGUGUGCAGUGGGUACGGGCAGACUUGAGUGCAGUAGGGGAGACUGGAACUCCUGGUGUAGCGGUGAAAUGCGCAGAUAUCAGGAAGAACACCGAUGGCGAAGGCAGGUCUCUGGGCUGUUACUGACGCUGAGGAGCGAAAGCAUGGGGAGCGAACAGGAUUAGAUACCCUGGUAGUCCAUGCCGUAAACGUUGGGCACUAGGUGUGGGGGACAUUCCACGUUUUCCGCGCCGUAGCUAACGCAUUAAGUG